UACGUAGGGGGCAAGCGUUGUCCGGAAUCAUUGGGCGUAAAGAGCGUGUAGGCGGCCAGAUAAGUCCGCUGUGAAAUCUCGAGGCUCAACUUCGAGCUGUCGGCGGAAACCAUCUGGCUAGAGUCCGGAAGAGGAGAGUGGAAUUCCUGGUGUAGCGGUGAAAUGCGCAGAUAUCAGGAAGAACACCCGUGGCGAAGGCGGCUCUCUGGGACGGUACUGACGCUGAGACGCGAAAGCGUGGGGAGCGAACAGG
rnacentral:rRNA from 1 species